rnacentral:rRNA from 2 species
UUUAUUGGAGAGUUUGAUCCUGGCUCAGGAUGAACGCUGGCGGCGUGCCUAAUACAUGCAAGUCGAGCGAAUGGAUUAAGAGCUUGCUCUUAUGAAGUUAGCGGCGGACGGGUGAGUAACACGUGGGUAACCUGCCCAUAAGACUGGGAUAACUCCGGGAAACCGGGGCUAAUACCGGAUAACAUUUUGAACCGCAUGGUUCGAAAUUGAAAGGCGGCUUCGGCUGUCACUUAUGGAUGGACCCGCGUCGCAUUAGCUAGUUGGUGAGGUAACGGCUCACCAAGGCAACGAUGCGUAGCCGACCUGAGAGGGUGAUCGGCCACACUGGGACUGAGACACGGCCCAGACUCCU